CGAAGAAGAAACCGGAAACGGCGCCGUAAACAAAUUUAGUCUGUUUUAGAGCAUCAAAUCUGGAUUUAAUGAGAAGAUGGUGACUCUCAGUCUGCGGGGACUGGACCGGAUGUACUCUAUGGUCUUGCUGGCCCUUGUGGUCUUGUCCUGGUCUUAUGUGAUCUACGCCAGCAGAAUUGCAGCUCACUGGCUGCUGGAGAAACGGACCGCAGGUUCAGUUCAGUCUCCUGCUGCAGACUGACAGACUUCACAGCUCGACCUCCAGUUUUCAGGUUGGAAGCCACACAAUCAACCAAACGGGUGCUUCGGUAAAAUCUGUGGCACUGUGAGACAAUCAGACCAAUGAGAAGUGCACUGAGACAUUGGUCUGCUGUGUAAAACACCACAGAGACUUUGGCAGCGUGAUACAAGAGUCAUCACUGGAGCUGAAACGCCACCAGAUGGAUUCUCUUCAGUCCCAAUCCAGAUGUUCCACACUGUGGCCACCAGAGGUCGCUCUGAUUAUAGGAAACUAGGAAGCUCCGUCCUGUUGAAUUCCAGCUUCAUGUUGAACUGAUUCAUGAGUAACUACAGGUGUUUCUGAACUCUACACAUCUUAGCAUAGUGAAAACACUGGAAACAGAAACCAGACUCUGGCUAACCAUCCAUCCAUGGUCUCUUUUAUUCAUCCAUAAACAAAUAAGUGUGUUUUCCUUCCAGGUUGUUUAGGAACUCUGUCUGUGUUCUGUCUGGUUUAUUGAUAAGUUAUUUUUCAGCCGUUUCAGGUUUAUGUGAAAGGCUUGAUUUAAACAAAACCAUCUGAAUGGAAACACAUCAGCUCUGUGUGUGUGUCUGAUGUAUUCAAUAACUAAAGCUCAGAAACACACAUACACAAUGUGUUUGAAGUGUGUGUCCUCAGAUAUGUAAAUGCUGCUAACAGAAUGGGUGACUGAGAGAGAGAGGGUGAGCGAGCUAAAGACAGAAUGAGAGAGAGAGAGAGGACAUGUUCUUUUGGUGAGUACUCAUUCUAUUAACAAACACUUCAAACACACACACGCUCAUUCUCUGUGAUCUGUAAUUAAAAACCAGCCUGCCGUUCGUCCCUCAGCUCUUUGAGCCACAUUAACAAAAUGGGGAGAAAAACUCCAUUCAGAUGGAUGUUUUGGUUUAAUCAUUUAAUAAAAAUUUGAUCAACGCAUCUUUAUUUUUCUCAAGUUGCUGCAGUUCAAACGGACUGUGGAGCUAAAUGACAAAGAACAAUAAUUAGAGCUGAAAAUACAAUAAAAUUAAUUUAAUAGAUUUUAUUUAAAUAAGUGAGAAAAUAAAGCGACCCCUGACAAAAAAUCUAUACUAAAUUAAAAGCCUUGUGAAACGUUUGUGUUUAUGAAGAGCUGCCUUCUGCAGAUGAGACCUUGAAAACACACUUAUAUGGUGAGUUUGAGAGUUUCAGUCUGAGAAUUGACCCACAAAAUCAACAUAAAAGUGUUUUGAUCUGAAAAUCCUCCUUCGGGAUGUUUACUCUUUCAAAACUCCACUUUGC
rnacentral:lncRNA from 1 species